CCUCACCAUCACUACAGCCAUACAUUCCUCAUCACUUCCUCUCCUCUACCAUACAUACACAGCCACACAUUCCUCAUCAUGUUCUUCUCCUCUACCAUCACUACAGCCAUACAUUCCUCAUCACUUUCUCUCCUCUACCUUCACUACAGCAAUACACCUCAUCACUUCCUCUCCUCUACCAUCACUACAGCCAUACAUUCCUCAUCGCGUCUUCUCUCUACCAUCACAACCAUACAUUCCCAUCACUUCCUCUCACUUCUCUUCUCUACCAUCACACAGCCAUCAUUUCCUCAUCAUUUUCUCUCCUCAACCUUCACUACAGCCAUACAUUCCUCAUCACGUCUCUCCUCUACCAUCACUACAGCCAAACAUUCCUCAUCACUUAAUCUUUCUCUCCUCUAUCAUCCUACACCAUACAUUCCUCAUCACUUCCGCUCCUCUACCACAACAAACCCCGCCAUUCAUUCCUCAUCACUUCUCAUUUCUACCAUCACUACAGCCAUACAUUCCUCAUCACUUCCUCUCUCUACCAUCAUACAGCCAACAUUCUCAUCACUUCCUCUCCUCUACAUCACUACAUCACUACACCACAUCCUCAUCACUUCCCUCCUCUACCAUCACUACACACACACCAUAACAUUUCUCAUCACUUCAUUACUACCAUCACUACAGCCAUACAUUAUUCAUCACGUCUUCUCCUCUACCACAUCACUACAGCCAAACAUUCCUCAUCACUUCAUCAUUCUCUCCUCUACCAUCCCUACAGCCAUACAUUCCUCAUCACUUCCUCUCCUCUACCAUCACUACAUACAGCCAUACAGUAACAUACCUCACACUUCCCUCCUCUACCAUCACUGCAGCCAUACAUUCCUCAUCAUGUCAUCUUUCUCUCCUCCUCUCUGGCCAUCACUAGUCAUACAUUCCUCAUCACGUUAUCUUUCUCUCCUCUAGCCAUCACUAGUCAUACAUUCCUCAUCACUUCAUCUCCUCUACAUAACUACAGCCAUACAUUCCUCAUAACUUUAUCACUACAGCCAUACAUUCCUCAUCACUUCAUCUCCUCUACAUCACUAAAGCCAUACAGUACAUACCUCAUCACUUCAUCUCCUCUACCAUAACUACAGCCAUACAUUCCUCAUCACUUCCUCUUUCUCUCUCUUUCCCACUCCUGCCGCAUUCCAACUACUUAACCUGUCACACCCUGACCAUAGUUUGCUUUGUAUGUUUCUAUGUUUUGUUUGGUCAGGGGGUGAUCUGAGUGGGCAUUCUAUGUUGUGUGUCUAGUUUGUCUGUUUCUGUGUUUGGCCUGAUAUGGUUCUCAAUCAGAGGCAGGUGUUAGUCAUUGUCUCUGAUUGGGAACCAUAUUUAGGUAGCCUGUUUGGUGUUGGGGUUUGUAGGUGAUUGUUCCUGUCUUUGUGUUUGUUACACCAGAUAGGGCUGUUUUCGGUUUUUCACGGUUCUUGUUUUUGUAUAUUGUUCUAUUUUCAUCUUUAUUAAAGAUGUAUCUAAAUAACCACGCUGCAUUUUGGUCCGCCUCUCCUUCAACAGAAGAAUCCCG
rnacentral:lncRNA from 1 species